ACGACGACAUAUACGCGUAUCAUAUCAUGUGGAAAUUCAACUUUCAACGGUAGAAGGAAGUUAUUGUCGGCGAAUUUUUAUAGUAAUUUGGAUAGCAAUUUAGCUCUCUCGCCCACGCAUCUCACAAGAGUGAUCAAUCUAACCUCGAGAUCGACCUGGAAACAAUCGUCUACCAAGUUUCGAAACAAGUGGAUCGCCAAAUACAUACUUUUAUGCGUGACAAAGGCCGUGACAGGCACACGCCUCGAUUACGCCAGAAUCCGACCACCUUUGCGCCAGGCCUUCCAAUUCGUGGCAAAUCUGAACGUUUUGCAGCCCGAUUGCAAAGCUUUACACCGAUUUGCUUUGGAUCAACAUUUUCGACGCUUGCGAACCGAUGUGUUCGAACUGGUAGAUUAGGUUUUUGGAGUUGAGUUGUGUGACGAGUUGAGACGAGAGAUAAGAUGGAAGAAGAAGGUUUGGAAGGUAAAAAUAGGUUACAGUAGUUUCUAUUUAUUAAACACUGGUCGUUGAUUGAAAGUUAAAGCUAGAAAUAUGAAAAGGAUUGAUUUUUUAAAUCAAUAGACUUUAUGAGAAAUUAUGAAAUACUAUUUUAACUUUUGUUUGAAUUUAUUCUGGAUUCUUGGAACACAUUGGUGGUUUCUUUCAGUUCUGAUGGUGUAUAUUUAAAAGAAGUAGGAUGAUUGAUUAAGGAUGUUGUCAGUGAAAAGUAGCUUGUAGACUUUUAAAAAAAAAAAAAAAAAAGAAAAUAACGAUUUUAAAUAUAAAUUUUAUUUAUAUUAUGUUGUUUCAUAACCAAGCUGAAAUUGGGUACCAAUAUUGCUUUUAGCAUUUAUAGAAAUGAAAUUUAUUAAUUUAGAGAAUUGGAAUUCUGGAAUUGGCUUUAACAUAUGGUGAUCAUUUAAAACUUGAUUUAUUGCAACCUGAAUUUAUGAAAUUUUUUUUAUUUUCCACAUAAAUUUCGGAGAUAAAAUCAAUCAAUUAAGCUAUAUCGCUUAUAAAUAUGAUAAA